rnacentral:rRNA from 1 species
CCUACGGGAGGCAGCAGUCGAGAAUCAUUCACAAUGGGGGAAACCCUGAUGGUGCGACGCCGCGUGGGGGAAUGAAGUUCUUCGGAUUGUAAACCCCUGUCAUGUGGGAGCAAAUUAAAAAGAUAGUACCACAAGAGGAAGAGACGGCUAACUCUGUGCCAGCAGUCGCGGUAAUACAGAGGUCUCAAGCGGUGUUCGGAAUCACUGGGCGUAAAGCGUGCGUAGGCUGUUUCGUAAGUCGUGUGUGAAUGGCGCGGGCUCAACCCGCGGACGGCACAUGAUACUGCGAGACUAGAGUAAUGGAGGGGGAACCGGAAUUCUCGGUGUAGCAGUGAAAUGCGUAGAUAUCGAGAGGAACACUCGUGGCGAAGGCGGGUUCCUGGACAUUAACUGACGUUGAGGCUCGAAAGCGUGGGGAGCAAACAGGAUUAGAUACCCGAGUAGUC